UUUUGGACAAUGGGGGCAACCCUGAUCCAGCAAUGCCGCGUGAGUGAAGAAGGCCUUCGGGUUGUAAAGCUCUUUUGUCAGGGAAGAAACAGCAGCUCUAACACAGUCUGCGAAUGACGGUACCUGAAGAAUAAGCACCGGCUAACUACGUGCCAGCAGCCGCGGUAAUACGUAGGGUGCGAGCGUUAAUCGGAAUUACUGGGCGUAAAGCGUGCGCAGGCGGUUAUACAAGACAGGCGUGAAAUCCCCGGGCUUAACCUGGGAAUGGCGCCUGUGACUGUAUAGCUAGAGUGUGUCAGAGGGGGGUAGAAUUCCACGUGUAGCAGUGGAAUGCGUAGAUAUGUGGAGGAAUACCAAUGGCGAAGGCAGCCCCCUGGGAUAACACUGACGCUCAUGCACGAA
rnacentral:rRNA from 1 species